GUGCCAGCAGCCGCGGUAAUACGGGGGGAGCGAGCGUUGUUCGGAAUCACUGGGCGUAAAGGGCGUGUAGGCGGCUGGAUAAGUCAGAGGUGAAAUCCCAGGGCUUAACCUUGGAAUUGCCUUUGAUACUGUCCGACUAGAGGACGGAAGAGGAUAGUGGAAUUCCUGGUGUAGCGGUGAAAUGCGUAGAUAUCAGGAAGAACACCGGUGGCGAAGGCGGCUAUCUGGUCCGUUACUGACGCUGAUGCGCGAAAGCCAGGGGAGCAAACGGGAUUAGAAACCCUCGUAGUCC
rnacentral:rRNA from 1 species